GAAGCCACAGUUGGCUCUUCAGUUCGGGAGUUUCUUCGGCUCGGGAUUUUGGACUUUUCAACUAUCUCUUUGGGCUCACUGCUGACAGAGGGAAGCAAAAAGUUUCCAAGCAGACCGUGAGCCUCUUAAGGACACAGACCAUAACCUGACUGUCAACUAUCCCUACCCUUCCACUGUUCACUCCUGCCAGAGGACCCUUUGCUAGUAGCACCGUGGUUGGGAACUGGGACACACCGUUCACUCCCAUAGCUUUAUGUAUAACAGCUGUCCGACACCCAACCAUAAGCCAAGCACAGGUCAUGUCACACAACAGGAAGUCAAUAAAUGUUUGCUGCAUGGCUCAGUGUUCAUCAACCUUUAAGCAUGAGACCAAAAGAUUGCAAAGAUGCUUCAUGCUGUGACCUCUAGCCUCCGGGAAGGAGUUAUGUCUAGCUUUCCUGAUUCAGCAAAUAGAGAUGUAAGUAUGCCAUGAACCCCCACCUAUCUUGCAGGGCUCAAAUGAUCAAAUAAGCCAAAAAAGGAAACUAGUAAAAUGUCAUACAAUUGAGUGGGAGGUCUUACCUGGAC